GAUGAAGAACGUAGCGAAAUGCGAUAAGUAAUGCGAAUUGCAGAAUCCGUGAGUCAUCGAAUCUUUGAACGCACAUUGCGCCCUCUGGUAUUCCGGAGGGCGUGCCUGUUCGAGCGUCAUUAUCACCCCUCAAGCCCGGCUUGUUGUUGGAUGCAGCGCUUAUCCCGCUCCUCCCAAAGAUAAUGACGGCGUCUGCGACGACUCCUGUACACUGAGCUUUCGGGCACGUACACGGCUAGAAGUCCAGACCCGGUCGCCGUCCCCCCCGCGGGGACACCCAUUACCACAAGGUUGACCUCGGAUCAGGUAGGAAUACCCGCUGAACUUAAGCAUAUCAAUAAGCGGAGGA
rnacentral:misc_RNA from 1 species